rnacentral:ncRNA from 1 species
CAAAGGUCUGGUCCUGGCUUUAUCAUCAGCUAUUGCCCAAAUUAUACAUGCAAGUCUCCGCACUCCAGUGAGGAUGCCCUCAACCCUCCGCCCGAAAAUGAGGAGCCGACAUCAGGCGCGCCCCCCCCGCCCAAGACGUCUUGCUCUGCCACGCCCUCAAGGGACCCAGCAGUACUAAACAUUAAGCCAUAAGUGAAAACUUGACUUAGUUAAGGCAAAACGAGGGCCGGUAAAACUCGUGCCAGCCACCGCGGUUAUACGAGAGGCCCCAGUUGAUGCUAGCGGCGUAAAGGGUGGUUAAGGACUUAAAUAACUAAAGCUAAACACUUCCCCGGCUGUUGUACGUAGACCGGAAGCUUGAAGCCCAAACACGAAAGUAGCUUUAUUUCCCCUGACCCCACGAAAGCUGAGAAACAAACUGGGAUUAGAUACCCCACUAUGCUCAGCCCUAAACUUAGAUGUUUAUAAUACUACAAACAUCCGCCCGAGUACUACGAGCAGAAGCUUAAAACUCAAAGGACUUGGCGGUGACUCAGACCCACCUAGAGGAGCCUGUUCUAGAACCGAUACCCCCCGUUCAACCUCACCCCCUCUUGUCCAACCCGCCUAUAUACCGCCGUCGUCAGCCAACCCUGUGAAGGAUUAACAGUAAGCAAUAAGGGAUUACCCACAAACGUCAGGCCGAGGUGUAGCGUAUGAAGGGGAAAGAAAUGGGCUACAUUUUCUAUGAUAGACCACACGAAAGGCACCUUGAAACAUGUGCCCAAAGGCGGAUUUAGUAGUAAAAAGCAAAUAGAGUGUCCUUUUGAAUUUGGCUCUGAGACACGCACACACCGCCCGUCAUCCUCCCCCCUCCGAAAAUUCUUCUCCUAAAUAAAAUGCAAUUCACACACAUUCGGGGAGGCAAGUCGUAACAUGGUAAGCGCACCGGAAGGUGCGCUUGGGAUAAU